AGGCGGUGACCGUGGCGAUGUAGGUGGAAGCGGCGAUGGAGGAGGAGGAUGAGGUAGCCAACACUGUUUUUUAUAUAUAUAUAUAUAUAUAUAUUUUUUUUAUUGGGGUAGCCCCCCAAAUAUUCGGACAUAUAAAAAAGACAACUCUGUUCCACAGAGUAGCUGUUGACAUUAUAGUUGCGCAGGCACUUUGUUGACUCUAGAGAACCUCGGGCCAAUCGCACAUCCCUGUGAUGGCGACUUUGCAUUUGGAUUUCAUCCAUAUCAACUUUUAAUGCCAGUUUCUGUGCCUACCAUGGUGACCACGGGUAACGGGGAAUCAGGGUUCCAUUCCGUACAGGGACCCUGAGAAACGGCUACCACAUGCAAGGAAGGCAACGGGCAGUGACGACAAAUAACAAUACAGGACUCUUUAGAGGCCCUGUAAUUGUAAUGAGUCCACUUGAAAUCCUUUAACUCUGAUCAAUUGGAGGGAAGUCUGGUGCAGAGCCACUGACCCGUGCGUGCUGCAGCUGAAACUCCACUAUCGCCU